ensembl:ncRNA lncRNA:CR43651 long non-coding RNA:CR43651
CGUUUCAUUCGUCGUCGAACGGCGAACAGUGCGGUUGGUUCAGCGCUUGCAGUUGGAGGUAUAAAAUACAAAGUACAAAACACAGAGUAUAAAGCAGUAUAAAAACCCUGCAUGGGAAAACCUCAAGGAGAGCACUGCUGAUGGAGAGAGAGAGCGCGUCCUACGCUGUUGCUAACGUCGAAAAUAGUCGCGGCGGUCCAAUUGGUGGUGGUUUUCCCAGUGAACUUUGCCUGCAGAGCCAUAAAUCAAGAACAACUAAAGAAAGCUGACAAUUAAAUUUACACAAAAAAAAUCCAAAAAAUUUAUAAUCAAACCGCGGAUUACGUAAAGAGCAGGAGUUUAAAGGAGAACAAAAAGAAAAGAGGGAGACGGCAUCAGGAACUGGAUGACACAUUUCUUUUGCCGAAUCAAUUACGCAACUUGCAAAUGGCGCUGCCCGCUGUCGCUGUCUCGCUCGCUCGCGUGUUUCUAAGGCCUCGUAAAUGUGUGCUUUUCAUUAUCGGAAGACAAACGGCGAGUCGGAAAAAAUUCACACAAGCACACGUACACGUACAUAUUUUUCACCCAAAUCCAAAGAGAAUGAGAGAGCGAAAAAGCUCCGACGACCUCAUAUUUUUAUGGAACAAACACUCAUACAUGCCUACGCACGCGUGAAUUCUAACGAAACGCUUUCGGUUCGUUCAGCUUGGCUUUCGUCAAGUCUGUUGCCGUGGUUUCGCUUCGUGCUUCGUCAACUCGCGUCAUUUGCAGCUGCACAGCGACCAAAGUUGGCCGCGUUUUUUCCGCACGUUUCCCAUCUCCUUCGCGCCAAUCUAAUGGAAUUUUUUGCGCCCGCGAGUGUUUUCAGUCAACCAACAGUGGACUAGUUUUCAUUAUUUAUCAGCCAGCACCAACAACAACGUAACGUACUGCAACCUAUGUGGGAGCGAGACGGGGACUCACUGUGCUUAUUAAAUAGUCAGUCUUUUUCUCUCUCCUAUACAAAUUGCGGGCGUAUCAUCAUGGCACAAGAAAACCAUAGUUUUGUGAUGUAUUAUUAAGCAGACUUGUUUGUAAUUGAAAUGAAUAAAUGCCCUCUAUAUUUCCAGCAGCAGCCA